UUAGUUUUUUAGGUUUACUGAGGUAUGUAUUAUCAAUUAUUAGUUUUAAUACGUUUCAUUUCUUCUCUAUAGUGAUCAUCAACUUAGGUUAAACAUGAAUAAACAAGAUAACAUGCUGUGUGAUUUUUUUUAUGCCUUUACCAUACGAUGACAUUUUUCUGAUUUCGAUCUAAGUAUAACGAUGAGUUAUAAAUCGUUCUCUUUAUCCUGGUAUUAUAACAGACAAUAUUUUCGAGAUUACUAAACUAAGUGUAAUACCUAUUACUAACGUUACAAAAAUUUAUCUAAAAGAAUGUAUCUAUUACAAACUAUCUAUAUAAUCUAUCUAAAGUAUCUAUACAAAUAAGCACGGAAUGUUGUAAGACGUAUAGGUUGCGAAAGAAAAUGUUUUAUUACAUAAAAGAAGUAUAAUUUCUUACAUGCAUACAUUCAUGUCUUGCCUAUUCCUUGUAACUGUGGUUAGAUUCUAUUUGCCUAAUAAUUAACAUGCGAUCUUUACGAAGGAGACAUUAGUUAAAAGAUUUCUUUAUAUCGUUAACCAUUGGAAAAUGAAAUUUAUAUGCAUAGAUCCGAUGUUGGAAUGAAGUCUUUUUCUUGGAUCUGUUACAGUCCUUGAUUGGAACAAAAAAUGUACAGCCGUACACUUAGAUAAAACUAUUUGGGAAUAUAGUUUAUGUAUAAAAUAUAAAAAAUAUAGAAAGAGAAGCAGAGCACCAUAAAUUGAAUUAAAAGUAAUAUAAUACAUAUAUUUUAGUCGGUAAAGUAUUCUAACUGAACAGAAUAUUACUAUUCUACUUACUAUUGGCUCUUAUAAUAUCAGGAUAAAGAGAACAAUUAUAAUUCAUCAGUAUUCUUAGAUUUACCUUUUCUAGAUUUAGAGAAGUUACAUGUCUGGGUAAAGUUACUAUUUGCCAUGGUGGAAAGUUUGGUUUGGGCAUUUCCUGGUCAAGGAUAAGAGAAAGGCUAAUUAAAUAUGUCAAAUAUUCUGGCUGAUCUAUACAGAAAUAAAGCUCAUCCUAUGUAUUAAAUAAUAUCACAAAUAUUAUUAUUCUACUACUUGUUAUUCUAUAAUGAUUUGCAUUGAAUAUUUUGGAAAGCAAAUCUAUAAAUAUAAUAUAUAUAUGUAAGCUUUGUAUACAUGUGCCGGUGUAUUGAGUGAUUAGCUGUUUGGAUGUGGCGCUAUACAUCGGAUAAACAAAAA
rnacentral:lncRNA from 1 species